GACGAACUGUCCAAACGUUGUUCGGAAUCACUGGGCUUAAAGGGCGCGUAGGCGGUCGCGCAAGUCAGGGGUGAAAUCCUGCAGCUUAACUGUAGAAGUGCCUUUGAUACUGGCCGUCUGGAGGGAGAUAGGGGUGUGUGGAACUUCCAGUGGAGCGGUGAAAUGCGUUGAUAUUGGAAGGAACGCCGGAGGCGAAAGCGACGCACUGGAUCUCUUCUGACGCUGAGGCGCGAAAGCUAGGGGAGCAAACGGG
rnacentral:rRNA from 1 species